CCUACGGGAGGCAGCAGUGAGGAAUAUUGGUCAAUGGACGCAAGUCUGAACCAGCCAUGCCGCGUGAAGGACGACGGCCUUAUGAGGUGUAAACUGUUUUUGCACGAGGGUAAACGCAUAUACGCGUAUCUGUCUGAAAGUAUCGUACGAAAAUGCAUCGGCUAACCCCGUGCCAGCAGCCGCGGUAAUACGGAGGAGGCGAGGGUUAGCCGGAUUUAUGGGGUUUAAGGGGUGCGCAGGCGGCGUUGUAUGUCAGCGGUCAAAUGGCGGGGCACAACCCCGUACGGCCAGUGAUACUGCAUCCCUUGAGUGCGCGAGAAGUAUGCAGAAUGCGUGGUGUAGCGGUGAAAUGCAUAGAUAGCACGAAGAACUCCGAUUGCGAAGGCAGCAUACCGGCGCGCAACUGACGCUCAUGCACGAAAGCGUGGGUAUCGAACAGGAUUAGAUACCCUGGUAGUC
rnacentral:rRNA from 1 species